rnacentral:lncRNA from 1 species
CUAUUCCACAUACGGUUAAAACGAGGCCGGCAGAAGUGUGCUUCAUUUCCGAACUUGACCCCUUAACCUGCACCUCAAGCUCAUUUUUAUUGCUACCCACUGAGCCCUGCUCUCCACGCACCGGUUGCACCAGCCCUGCCGACCCGUACGUUCGCGGUCUCCGCUGGGAUGGCUGGAAAGGAAGCGAGAAAGUCACGGAAGAACUUACCUGAAACGAUCCCAUUCGACAGGAACCCCAGCUGGUAAAGGAGGCAGCAGCAGCAGAGGAGUUUCCGAGGCCGAGCAGGCUAGUGCUGGAGCCCCACAAGACAGACCCACAGCCAGCCGAGAGCCGGGAGUGCUGCCUCUGGACAGGCAGAGGACUGCCCGGCGCGGGCAGGAGAGCUGUGGUGUCCGAGCCGAGGCUCGCCGCCUGCACCCGCGCGGAACGGGCGGAGGCUGGUGUCACAGUCUCAGCAACUUGGUGUGCCAAGCUCCGCACACUCCUCACGCUCCUUAGGACGCACCGCUGAAGGCUCUCACCCGCAGCGGCGCGGGAGGGAAUGAGUAGGGAGAUGGGAAGACACGACUAGAGAGGUGGGUUGUAGAGCAGAAAAGAAUCAAGCACAUCUGACCAGAAAAAGGGACCAAGGGGUGCCCGCCAAGCGUGACUUUGCGGGACAAAGGUCCCAGAACACCGUGCACGUGCUCAAACGCCGGUUGGGAUGGGGUGGGGACCCAAAAUCCCUCACCUGACUAUUGAUUGGCCACUCGGGAAGGCCUGAUUUGCAUCCAUCCCCUGCCCCC